rnacentral:rRNA from 1 species
GCCAGGCAGGCCGCGGUNAUACAGAGGGGUGCCAAGCGUUAUUNGGAAUUACUGGGNGUAAAAGCGCGCGUAGGCGGAUAAUUUAAGUCAGUUGUGAAAGCCCUGGGCUCAANCCUAGGAACUGCAUCUGAUAGCUGAUUGUCUAGAGUUUAAGAGAGGGAAGUGGAAUUCCAGGUGUAGCAGUGAAAUGCGUAGAUAUCUGGAGGAACAUCAGUGGCGAAGGCGACUUCCUGGCUUAAAACUGACGCUGAGGUGCGAAAGCGUGGGUAGCGAACGGGAUUAGAUACCCCGGUAGUCCACGCCGUAAACGAUGUCAACUAGUUGUUGGUCUUAUUAAAAAGAUUAGUAACGAAGCUAACGCGAUAAGUUGACCGCCUGGGGAGUACGGUCGCAAGAUUAAAACUCAAAGGAAUUGAC